UACGUAGGGUGCAAGCGUUAAUCGGAAUUACUGGGCGUAAAGCGUGCGCAGGCGGCUUUGCAAGACAGAUGUGAAAUCCCCGGGCUUAACCUGGGAACUGCAUUUGUGACUGCAUGGCUGGAGUGCGGCAGAGGGGGAUGGAAUUCCGCGUGUAGCAGUGAAAUGCGUAGAUAUGCGGAGGAACACCGAUGGCGAAGGCAAUCCCCUGGGCCUGCACUGACGCUGAGGCGCGAAAGCCAGGGGAGCAAACGGG
rnacentral:rRNA from 1 species